UAGCUGAAAUGAAUGUUGCUUC
rnacentral:siRNA from 1 species